rnacentral:lncRNA from 1 species
UUUUGAAUUGCAUUUCUCUGGUGAUUAGUGCAGUUCAGCACCUUUUCAGAUUCCUGUUGGCCAUUUGUGGAGUCUCACUCUGUAGCCCAAGCUGGAGUGGCGUGAUCUCGACUCACUGCAACCUCCGCCUCCUGGGAUCAAGUGAUUCUCGUGCCUCAGCCUCCUGAGUAGCCGGGACUACAGGUCACAGAAUUUUCCACACUCCUUGACAGAGGUGCUUAACCCUUAUCCAUCAGCAUUCUCAGACAGCACCUCCGGUUAGGGACAGUAUCUGACCGUCCGACAUCCCUGCAGCCCCCAUGUGUCACACAGACUCAGCCUCAGGUAGAUGGUUUCCGUAGAUGGUGGCUUUCUUUGGACCCUUGACAUCAACCAGUUACUAUUUGACUCUUCUGCAGAACCCCAUGUUGACCCCUGCUUUGAGGUGGCAGAGUUAACACUACUCUUCGUUAUAAGCUCUCGUCUGGGGCAACUCAGAAGAACCUCAGCAAGGCCCACAUUUUCCCGGUGAAGCCACAGAACCACAGGGAGAAACCCAUGGACUUCGCCUCUCUCUCUAGGGGACCAGAUGUGCAGAGGUAAUGAAUACCAGGGAAUCAGGAAACCACUGGAUCAGUUCUUUGAGCCACAGAACAACACUCAUCCCAGCAGCUGGGAAGCUAUCUGCAAAAGUCCAUCUGCAGAAAGGGCUUCCUGGUCUUGCGUGUGGCUGGGCCAUUUCUCUGGAUGCAGGUUUUUCAUUAUACAGUCUUCUCAAAGAACCACCUGCUCUCAACACCUUCUCGGUGACUCCAUUUCCCCUCCUCU